CUUCCGUAGGGUGAACCUGCGGAAGGAUCAUUACCGAGUGAGGGCCCUCUGGGUCCAACCUCCCACCCGUGUUUAUUUUACCUUGUUGCUUCGGCGGGCCCGCCUUAACUGGCCGCCGGGGGGCUUACGCCCCCGGGCCCGCGCCCGCCGAAGACACCCUCGAACUCUGUCUGAAGAUUGAAGUCUGAGUGAAAAUAUAAAUUAUUUAAAACUUUCAACAACGGAUCUCUUGGUUCCGGCAUCGAUGAAGAACGCAGCGAAAUGCGAUACGUAAUGUGAAUUGCAAAUUCAGUGAAUCAUCGAGUCUUUGAACGCACAUUGCGCCCCCUGGUAUUCCGGGGGGCAUGCCUGUCCGAGCGUCAUUGCUGCCCUCAAGCCCGGCUUGUGUGUUGGGCCCCGUCCCCCGAUCUCCGGGGGACGGGCCCGAAAGGCAGCGGCGGCACCGCGUCCGGUCCUCGAGCGUAUGGGGCUUUGUCACCCGCUCUGUAGGCCCGGCCGGCGCUUGCCGAUCAACCCAAAUUUUUAUCCAGGUUGACCUCGGAUCAGG
rnacentral:rRNA from 1 species